UGUCCUUGACAGUUGUUCACACUUCUGACUUCACACCGGUUAGUUGAUUAGUUCCGUUACUCCGAGACUGAUUGAAAAUGUUUAGAAAAUUUUGCUUACGUUUAUAUUUUGAAAUAGGAAAUUAAAAUUAACGCAAAUUUUUCAAUCACAUGAAGAAUUUCGAUGAGUUAAGCAUUUAAGAUGGACAUGGAGUCAACAAAAGCUAUAAAAAACCGGAAAAGUAGAAAGGAACACAACAAACAAAACGAGGUCAAGAAAGUUUCUGAAACAGAGAAUUCUGAACAAAGUUUAAAAUUAUUAAAAAGAGAAGUCGGUGAUGGUGCCCCAGCACAAAAUGAAUAUGAAUGCAAAGAUGAUAAUUAUGAAGAGAAUACAAACAUAUCACAUAGAUAUUAUUUAAAAAUCGAAAUUGAUAUAAUAUUUCUUAUUCUCUUAUGUUUAGGUCUUUGCACUAGAUUGUUUAACUUAGACAAUCCUCAUUAUAUUGUCUUUGACGAGCUACAUUAUGGUAGAUAUGUAUCGCUUUAUACAAAAGGGGUUUUCUUUUUUGAUGCCCAUCCACCAUUAGGAAAACAGUUGUUGUAUUUAGCUGGUCGUAUGGCUGGCUAUGAUGGAAAUUUCACCUUUGAUAGAAUUGGAUCUCCGUAUACAGAAAAUGUACCUGUGACAGCUUUAAGAAUUAUACCUGCGAUAAGUGGCAGUCUCCUUGUAGCACUUUCAUAUCAAUUUAUGUUGGAGACUUCAGUACAUCAAGGGACUGCUGUAUUAGCUGCUUUAUUGGUUUUAUUUGAAAAUAGUCUCCUGACCCAAUCCAGAUUUAUGCUAUUAGAAAGUAUACAAAUUCUGUUUGGCAUGUGGGGAAUUCUGUGUGUAAUUAAAAGUACAAGAAAAACUGGUCUAGCUUCAAUAUUAUGGCUUUGUAUAGGAGCAGUAUCACUUGGUUGUUGUUUCUCCAUUAAAUAUUCAGGGUUCUACACAUAUUUUUUGGCAUUUAUAUUGGUUGGACGUCAAAUGUGGAACAGAAUUGGAAAAGUUGAAUCUGCUUUACGUCUUGCGAUGUCGGUAUUGUGGAGAGUAGCUAUACUGAUCAUAAUUCCACUCAGUGUGUAUGUGAGUGUAUUCUAUGCACACUUGGCAAUGCUUCCAAAAGCUGGACCACAUGAUAGUGUCAUGUCUAGUGCGUUCCAAGCAUCAUUACAAGGAGGCCUUGCUAGUAUAACUAGAGGACAACCAUUACAUGUUGCGCAUGGCUCCCAGAUUACUUUAAGACACUCCCACGGGCGCACGUGCUGGCUGCACUCGCACGCGCACGUGUACCCGGUGCGCUACGCGGACGGGCGCGGCUCGUCGCACCAGCAGCAGGUCACGUGCUACAGCUUCAAGGACGUGAACAACUGGUGGAUAGUGAAGCGGCCCGACGUGUCGUCGCUGACCGUGUCGUACCCGCCCGAUGCGAUCCGACAUGGGGAUGUCGUGCAGCUGGUGCACGGGCUCACUACUAGAGCGCUCAACUCGCACGAUGUGGCCGCUGCUGUGACACCCCACUCGCAGGAAGUAUCGUGCUACAUCGACUACAACGUGUCGAUGCCAGCGCAGAAUCUUUGGCGAGUAGAGAUCGUGAAUCGCGAGUCCGAAGAAGCCACAUGGGACAGCAUUCACUCUCUAGUGCGACUCCUCCACGUGCCCUCGGGCUCCGCUCUGCGGUUCAGCGGCCGCCAGCUGCCGGCCUGGGGCUUCCAUCAGCACGAGGUGGUCGCUGAUAAGGCCACUGACCAUCAGGAUACAGUUUGGAACGUUGAGGAACAUCGAUAUUCGAAAUCGGAAGACCGUCGCGAGCGCGAACGCGAGCUGGUGUCAGCAGAGAUGAUCCCCACCACAGCGACGCGGCUCUCGUUCUGGGCGAAGUUCGUCGAGCUGCAGCGCAAGAUGGCGGCGCACGCGAGUGACGCGCCGCACGGACACAUGUUCGCGAGCGAGCCGCACCACUGGCCCGUGCUGCAGCGCUCCAUCGCGUACUGGCUCUCGCCGGACUCUAAUGUGAGUGUGACGCGUGCUGGCUAGCGGCUCCGAGCUGCACGCAAGAUGGCGGCGCACGCGAGUGACGCGCCGCACGGACACAUGUUCGCGAGCGAGCCGCACCACUGGCCCGUGCUGCAGCGCUCCAUCGCGUACUGGCUCUCGCCGGACUCUAAUGUGAGUGUGACGCGUGCUGGCUAGCGGCUCCGAGCUGCACGCAAGAUGGCGGCGCACGCGAGUGACGCGCCGCACGGACACAUGUUCGCGAGCGAGCCGCACCACUGGCCCGUGCUGCAGCGCUCCAUCGCGUACUGGCUCUCGCCGGACUCUAAUGUGAGUGUGACGCGUGCUGGCUAGCGGCUCCGAGCUGCACGCAAGAUGGCGGCGCACGCGAGUGACGCGCCGCACGGACACAUGUUCGCGAGCGAGCCGCACCACUGGCCCGUGCUGCAGCGCUCCAUCGCGUACUGGCUCUCGCCGGACUCUAAUGUGAGUGUGACGCGUGCUGGCUAGCGGCUCCGAGCUGCACGCAAGAUGGCGGCGCACGCGAGUGACGCGCCGCACGGACACAUGUUCGCGAGCGAGCCGCACCACUGGCCCGUGCUGCAGCGCUCCAUCGCGUACUGGCUCUCGCCGGACUCUAAUGUGAGUGUGACGCGUGCUGGCUAGCGGCUCCGAGCUGCACGCAAGAUGGCGGCGCACGCGAGUGACGCGCCGCACGGACACAUGUUCGCGAGCGAGCCGCACCACUGGCCCGUGCUGCAGCGCUCCAUCGCGUACUGGCUCUCGCCGGACUCUAAUGUGAGUGUGACGCGUGCUGGCUAGCGGCUCCGAGCUGCACGCAAGAUGGCGGCGCACGCGAGUGACGCGCCGCACGGACACAUGUUCGCGAGCGAGCCGCACCACUGGCCCGUGCUGCAGCGCUCCAUCGCGUACUGGCUCUCGCCGGACUCUAAUGUGAGUGUGACGCGUGCUGGCUAGCGGCUCCGAGCUGCACGCAAGAUGGCGGCGCACGCGAGUGACGCGCCGCACGGACACAUGUUCGCGAGCGAGCCGCACCACUGGCCCGUGCUGCAGCGCUCCAUCGCGUACUGGCUCUCGCCGGACUCUAAUGUGAGUGUGACGCGUGCUGGCUAGCGGCUCCGAGCUGCACGCAAGAUGGCGGCGCACGCGAGUGACGCGCCGCACGGACACAUGUUCGCGAGCGAGCCGCACCACUGGCCCGUGCUGCAGCGCUCCAUCGCGUACUGGCUCUCGCCGGACUCUAAUGCUCAAGUACAUCUUAUUGGCAACCUUGUGACCUGGUACGCGGGCACCAUCUCAGUGUUAUUGUACGGCGCAUUCCUCGUACUGUACGCCAUUCGAACAAGAAGAGCUAUCACGGAUCUCCCGC